AGUGAACGCUGGCGGUAGGCCUAAUACAUGCAAGUCGAACGGCAGCACAGUAAGAGCUUGCUCGUACGGGUGGCGAGUGGCGGACGGGUGAGGAAUAAAUCGGAAUCUACUUUUUCGUGAGGGAUAACGUAGGGAAACUUACGCUAAUACCGCAUACGACCUACGGGUGAAAGCAGGGGAUCUUCGGACCUUGCGCGAUUGAAUGAGCCGAUGUCGGAUUGGCUAGUUGGCGGGGUAAAGGCCCACCAAGGCGACGAUCCGUAGCUGGUCUGAGAGGAUGAUCAGCCACACUGGCACUGUGACACGGUGCAGACGCCUAGGGGAGGCAGCGGUGGGGAAUAUUGGACAAUGGGCGCAAGCCUGAUCCAGCCAUACCGCGUGGGUGAAGAAGGCCUUCGGGUUGUAAAGCCCUUUUGUUGGGAAAGAAAAGCAGCAGGUUAAUACCCCGCUGUUCUGACGGUACCCAAAGAAUAAGCACCGGCUAACUUCGUG
rnacentral:rRNA from 1 species